UAGGGAAUCUUCGGCAAUGGGGGCAACCCUGACCGAGCAACGCCGCGUGAGUGAAGAAGGUUUUCGGAUCGUAAAGCUCUGUUGUAAGAGAAGAACGUGUGUGAGAGUGGAAAGUUCACACAGUGACGGUAACUUACCAGAAAGGGACGGCUAACUACGUGCCAGCAGCCGCGGUAAUACGUAGGUCCCGAGCGUUGUCCGGAUUUAUUGGGCGUAAAGCGAGCGCAGGCGGUUUAAUAAGUCUGAAGUUAAAGGCAGUGGCUUAACCAUUGUUCGCUUUGGAAACUGUUAAACUUGAGUGCAGAAGGGGAGAGUGGAAUUCCAUGUGUAGCGGUGAAAUGCGUAGAUAUAUGGAGGAACACCGGUGGCGAAAGCGGCUCUCUGGUCUGUAACUGACGCUGAGGCUCGAAAGCGUGGGAAGCAAACAGGAUUAGAUACCCUGGUAGUCCACGCCGUAAACGAUGAGUGCUAGGUGUUAGGCCCUUUCCGGGGCUUAGUGCCGCAGCUAACGCAUUAAGCACUCCGCCUGGGGAGUACGACCGCAAGGUUG
rnacentral:rRNA from 1 species